GUACCAUAACCGACACAGGUGGGUAAGUAGAGUAUACUAAGGGGCGCGAGAUAACUCUCUCUAAGGAACUCGGCAAAAUAACUCCGUAACUUCGGGAGAAGGAGUGCCUUAUUCUUAAGGUUGCAAUAACAAGAUCCAAGCAACUGUUUAUCAAAAACACAGGUCUCCGCUAAGUCGUAAGACGAUGUAUGGGGGCUGACGCCUGCCCAGUGCCAGAAGGUUAAAGAAGUCGGUUAGCAAUAGCAAAGCUGGUAACUGAAGCCCUGGUGAACGGCGGCCGUAACAAUAACGGUCCUAAGGUAGCGAAAUUCCUUGUCGGGUAAGUUCCGACCCGCACGAAAGGCGUAAUGAUUUGGAUGCUGUCUCGGAGAGGGGCUCGGUGAAAUAGACUUGUCUGUGAAGAUGCGGACUACCUGCACCAGGACAGAAAGACCCUAUGAAGCUUUACUGUAACUUGAAAUUGAAAUUGGACUUUAUUCGCGCAGUAUAGGUGGGAGGCGUUGAUUAUAAUCUUGUGGGAUUAUUGGAGCCAUCAGUGAGAUACCACUCUUGUAAUGUUAGAUUUCUAACUUUGAAUCAUUAUCUGGUCAAAGGACAGUUUCAGGCGGGCAGUUUGACUGGGGCGGUCGCCUCCUAAACGGUAACGGAGGCGUACAAAGGUUUCCUCUGAACGGUUAGAAAUCGUAUCUAGAGUGUAAAGGCAUAAGGAAGCUUGACUGUGAGACCUACAAGUCGAGCAGGGACGAAAGUCGGUCUUAGUGAUCUGACGGUACUGAGUGGAAAGGCCGUCACUCAACGGAUAAAAGUUACUCUAGGAUAACAGGCUGAUCUCCCCCAAGAGUUCACAUCGACGGGGAGGUUUGGCACCUCGAUGUCGGCUCAUCGCAUCCUGGGGCGGUAGUACGUCCCAAGGGUUGGGCUGUUCGCCCAUGAAAGCGGUACGCGAGCUGGGUUCAGAACGUCGUGAGACAGUUCGGUCCAUAUCCGGUGUAGGCGCUAGAAUAUUGAGAGGAGCCUUCUUUAGUACGAGAGGACCGAGAAGGACAUACCUCUGGUGUACCAGUUAUCGUGCCAACGGUAAACGCUGGGUAGCUAUGUAUGGAGUGGAUAACCGCUGAAAGCAUCUAAGUGGGAAGCCCACCUCAAGAUAAGUAUUCUCAUCACGUAAGUGAGUAAGGUCACGGUAAGACUAACCGUUUGAUAGGCAUUAAGUGUAAGUACAGUAAUGUAUGUGCUGAGAUGUCCUAAUAGACCGAGGACUUGAA
rnacentral:rRNA from 1 species